CGCUAGCUACAGGCUUAACACAUGCAAGUCGAGGGGCAUCAGGAAGAAAGCUUGCUUUCUUUGCUGGCGACCGGCGCACGGGUGAGUAACACGUAUCCAACCUGCCCUUUACUCGGGGAUAGCCUUUCGAAAGAAAGAUUAAUACCCGAUAGCAUAAUGAUUCCGCAUGGUUUCAUUAUUAAAGGAUUCCGGUAAAGGAUGGGGAUGCGUUCCAUUAGGUUGUUGGUGGGGUAACGGCCCACCAAGCCUUCGAUGGAUAGGGGUUCUGAGAGGAAGGUCCCCCACAUUGGAACUGAGACACGGUCCAAACUCCUACGGGAGGCAGCAGUGAGGAAUAUUGGUCAAUGGGCGCUAGCCUGAACCAGCCAAGUAGCGUGAAGGAUGAAGGCUCUAUGGGUCGUAAACUUCUUUUAUAUAAGAAUAAAGUGCAGUAUGUAUACUGUUUUGUAUGUAUUAUAUGAAUAAGGAUCGGCUAACUCCGUGCCAGCAGCCGCGGUAAUACGGAGGAUCCGAGCGUUAUCCGGAUUUAUUGGGUUUAAAGGGAGCGUAGGUGGACUGGUAAGUCAGUUGUGAAAGUUUGCGGCUCAACCGUAAAAUUGCAGUUGAUACUGUCAGUCUUGAGUACAGUAGAGGUGGGCGGAAUUCGUGGUGUAGCGGUGAAACGCUUAGAUAUCACGAAGAACUCCGAUUGCGAAGGCAGCUCACUGGACUGCAACUGACACUGAUGCUCGAAAGUGUGGGUAUCAAACAGGAUUAGAUACCCUGGUAGUCCACACAGUAAACGAUGAAUACUCGCUGUUUGCGAUAUACAGUAAGCGGCCAAGCGAAAGCAUUAAGUAUUCCACCUGGGGAGUACGCCGGCAACGGUGAAACUCAAAGGAAUUGACGGGGGCCCGCACAAGCGGAGGAACAUGUGGUUUAAUUCGAUGAUACGCGAGGAACCUUACCCGGGCUUAAAUUGCAGUGGAAUGAUGUGGAAACAUGUCAGUGAGCAAUCACCGCUGUGAAGGUGCUGCAUGGUUGUCGUCAGCUCGUGCCGUGAGGUGUCGGCUUAAGUGCCAUAACGAGCGCAACCCUUAUCUUUAGUUACUAACAGGUCAUGCUGAGGACUCUAGAGAGACUGCCGUCGUAAGAUGUGAGGAAGGUGGGGAUGACGUCAAAUCAGCACGGCCCUUACGUCCGGGGCUACACACGUGUUACAAUGGGGGGUACAGAAGGCAGCUAGCGGGUGACCGUAUGCUAAUCCCAAAAGCCUCUCUCAGUUCGGAUCGAAGUCUGCAACCCGACUUCGUGAAGCUGGAUUCGCUAGUAAUCGCGCAUCAGCCACGGCGCGGUGAAUACGUUCCCGGGCCUUGUACACACCGCCCGUCAAGCCAUGGGAGCCGGGGGUACCAGAAGUACGUAACCGCAAGGAUCGUCCUAGGGUAAAACUCG
rnacentral:rRNA from 1 species